AGCAGCCGCGGUAAUUCCAGCUCCAAUAGCGUAUAUUAAAGUUGUUGCAGUUAAAAAGCUCGUAGUUGAAUUUCGGGGUCAGUAGGUUGGUCAUGCCACUGGUAUGUACUGGUCUCACUGAUUCCUCCUUCCUGAUGAACUGUAAUGCCAUUAAUUUGGUGUUGCAGGGAAUCUGGACUGUUACUUUGAAAAAAUUAGAGUGUUUAAAGCAGGCUAACGCCUGAAUACAUUAGCGUGGAAUAAUGAAAUAGGACGUUCGAUCCUAUUUUGUUGGUUUCUAGGAUUGACGUAAUGAUUAAUAGGGAUAGUUGGGGGCAUUAGUAUUCAAUUGUCAGAGGUGAAAUUCUUGGAUUUAUUGAAGACUAACUACUGCGAAAGCAUUUGCCAAGGAUGUUUUCAUUAAUCAAGAACGAAAGUUAGGGGAUCGAAGACGAUCAGAUACCGUCGUAG
rnacentral:rRNA from 1 species